UUUAUGAACAAACAGAUAAAAGUCAGUACAACUGUUCUAGAGGCCCUUAUGACUUAACUGCAAUAUUCCUAAAACUCUUCUCUGUACUCCAGCACUUGAUUUCAUUUUGAUGCUGCAUUUCAUAUGUGAUAUAUCAAAAGCAUAAAGCAGAAGUCAGAAUAUCACAAGUAAAUACACUUCCAGUUUUGAAGGGAUUUCCUGACUUAUGAGAAGGGAAGGAGGGAAAUUAUGAAGACUUGAUGUGGCUUCAAGAAACUCUUACACAGGCAUGAAUCAUACACAAGGAGGCAGCAGGUUAUAGAAGGAUCUUCUUAUAGACAUAAUGAUGAAAUAGUUCUAUACCACUUCCAGUGCCAGGCUGAGAAGAAUGAGAUGGAAGAAGGGGUACCACCAGAGCACUAUGAUGUUGAAUAAAACCACCACUGGAUUGUCCUCCUGAGCUUGGUGCAUGAAAAUGAAGAGGAAUGUGGGAGAAGUGAUACUUAAAUAUAUGAAGAAAAAAAUACCACUCCAGCCAUUAACUUGUAGGAACUAUCCAAAAUAGCAGCCAAGAUGAAAACGAUGGCUUCUGAAAGGCCAAGAAGGGGGAUAACAGGCUGAAAGAAAUCCAGUAGACAGAAAGUCGAAAAGGUUGGGGCAAGGCCUCCAAAAUUUAUAAUAAAUGGCAGAAGAUAUAUGAUUCACACUCACCCUCCCUCCAAUCCAUCUGUCUUCUGAGGUAAUAUGGUUCUGGGCUGGCAAGCUAAGGGAUGGAGAAGGAUGGAGGAAACCGAAAACGUGAGCCAGAGAAGGAAUGACCUAGGAAAUCAAGUUUCUGAAGGACACUCGACAGAGAAAAAGGUCACUUUUUCAUCAAACAAGCAAAAAAAUGUGAGAAGAAAUUAUAUAAGAAAGGUUUUGAGGUGUGGAAUACGAGAAAAGAGGAAACUAAUGAUGGAUGGCUUUAAUUUUGAAAUCUUUUGUUGUAAAAGAUAA